GAUGAACGCUGGCGGCGUGCCUAACACAUGCAAGUCGAGCGGAGAGAGACGAGUAUUCGUACAAAUCUCUCUUAGCGGCGGACGGGUGAGUAACACGUGAGUAACCUGCCUUCUUCUGGGGAAUAACACAGAGAAAUUUGUGCUAAUACCGCAUAAAGUCACGACUGGGCAUCCAGAUGUGACCAAAGGAGCAAUCCGGAGGAAGAUGGACUCGCGUCCGAUUAGGUAGUUGGUGAGGUAACGGCCCACCAAGCCUACGAUCGGUAGCCGAACUGAGAGGUUGAUCGGCCACAUUGGGACUGAGACACGGCCCAGACUCCUACGGGAGGCAGCAGUGGGGAAUAUUGGGCAAUGGGGGAAACCCUGACCCAGCAACGCCGCGUGAAGGACGAAGGCCUUCGGGUUGUAAACUUCUUUGAUCAGGGACGAAACAAAUGACGGUACCUGAGGAACAAGCCACGGCUAACUACGUG
rnacentral:rRNA from 1 species